rnacentral:tRNA from 2 species
CGGGGUGUGGCGCAGCUUGGUAGCGCGCUUCGUUCGGGACGAAGAGGUCGUGGGUUCAAAUCCCGCCACCCCGACCC